CAAUAGCUUGAAAUAUGUAUGUGGAGUGGGGUUUACCCACCCUUGGAUCUUACCUGUCCCCAUGAGGAGAAAAAGCCUGAACUAGCCCAUUGUCCCAGGAAAAGGAUAAGAGACAUAUAAAGCAGAAUUUACCUUCAGUCACACCAGCCUAGAUCAGCAAACUCCCAGCUGACUUGUAAACACAUAAGCUAAACACAUAACCAGUGGUUACUGGUUUAAGCUGCCAGCCUACACCACAGCCACAGCAACAUGGGAUCUGAGCUAUAUCUGCAGCCUAUGCUGCAGCUUGAAGCAAUACCAGAUCCUUUAACCCACUGAGCAAGGACAGGGAUGGAACCUCAUUCUCAUGGAUACUAGUCAGGCUCUUAACCUGCUGAGCCACAAUGGGAACUCUCCAUUUCUGUGGCUCUCAGGAUGGAAUUCAAAACUCUUCAUAUGACCUAGAAUGCCCUGCCUGAUCUGGACUCUGUCUACUUCUCCAGCUGCACUUCUUGCCUCUUCUGCCAUAGGUCUCUUUGCUCCCAUAAGUCUUCUCUUGGUAUUUGAAUGAGCUGUGUUCUUUCAUGCUUCCAGGCUUCUACUCAGAUUUUUCCUUCCUUGGAGCAGUCUCCUCAUUUUCACCCUCCUCUUUCACAUCACACACAUUCUUCCCUGAAUAAUUCCUAUAGUUCAGUUUCAGUAUUAUGUCUUUGAAAACUUGCUCUGACUUCAUCUAUUCCCCAUGAUGUACUUGUGUGUCAUCAUCAGACUUCCAAAUACUUUUUAUUUAAGUAAACUUUUUUUUUUUUUUUUUGUCAUACCCAUGGCAUAUGGACGUUCCCAAGCUAGGAAUCUAAUCUGAGCCACAGCUGUGACCUACACUGCAGCUGUGGCAAUAUUCCUUAACUCAUUGCACCAAGCAGGGAAUCGAACCCAUGACUCAGUAGUGACCCAAGCUGCUGUAGAUACAAUGCUGGAUCCUUAACCCAUUGCACCACAAUGGGAGCUCAUUUUUUGUUGUUGUUGUUUUUUUAGGGCUGCACUUGUGGCAUAGGUGGUUCUCAGGCUUGGGGUUAAAUUGGAGCUCUAGUCACAGGCCUACACCACAGCCACAGCAAUGCCAGAUCCACGUGGCUUCUUCGACCUACACUAUAGCUCAUGGCAAUACCGGAUCCUUAACCCACUGAGUGAGGCCAGGGAUGGAACCUGCGUCCUCAUGAUCUAGUCUGAUUUCGUUUCUGCUGACCCACAAUGGGAACUCCCCCGGAGCUCCCUAUUUAUAAACUUUUACUUGAAGUAUGUCGUUACAGAAAAAUGUAUACAAAUCACAGAUAUAUAUCUUGAUGACUUUUUACAAAAUGAACAUGCUCAUCCAGAUCAAGAAAUAACACAUUAUCAGCACUCCAGAAACUCACUUGUGUCCCCUUCUAAUAAGAACCCCCUUCAUGGUAACCAUUAUCUUAACUUCUGUUAUUGGAGAUUAAUUUUGUACUUUCUUCACCCUCACAUAAAUAGUCCAUAUUCUUUUUUUAUUACUUAAUGAAUUUUAUUGCAUUAAUAGGUGUACAACAAUCAUCAAAACAAAAUUCUUUUGGGUCUUCUUUUGUUCAAUAUUAUGUUUUCGAAGUUCAUGGUGAAUAUAGGCAAGAAUCUUUCCCAUUCCUUUAAAUGAAUACACCACAAUUUGUCUAUACAUUCUCUGGUUGAUUGGUAUUUGAGUGUUUCCAAUGUUUGCUAAUUACGAACACUGCUUCUAUGAUGAGCAUUCUUGUUUCCUUGUAUCUGUUUUUUUAUCCCCCCAGAAGCAUUUAUGCAUUUCUCUUCUGUAUAUAUGUAGGAGAAGAUUGAUUGCAGGGUCAUGGGGUAACAUACAUUCAGCUUUAGUUGAUACCAUGAAACAGUUUUCCAAAGAGGUUGUCUCAAUUUAAACUCUCAAGAGAAAUGUGGUUUACAGUCUUGCUGACAUUUGGUAUGGUCAGGUUUUCUUGUUUAGCCAUUCUGGUAGGUGCAUAGUGGUAUCUUUAUUGUAUUUUACGAUUUGCAUCCUUCUGAUGAUAACUAGUGAAGUUCAAUAUCCUUUUUAUUGGCCAUUUGUAUAUCCUCUUUUGUGAAAUCCUUGUCCUUUUCCACUUUACCACUUUGUCACUGAGCUUUUUUUUUUUCUUCUCAUUAAUAUGUUAACAUUUUUGUGUGUUUUGGGUAAUGCAUUCUGCAUACUUCUCUGUUGUUGGUUAUAUAUGUAUUGCAAAUACCUUCUUAUAAUCUUUGGCUUGUCUUUUACAUUUUUGAGAGUGUCUUCUGAAAAACAUAAGUUCUUUAAUGGAGUCUAACUUAUCAAUAUUGUUCUUUGUGUCUUUUUGUAUCUUAUUAAGAAAUUGUUGCCUACAUCCUCAAAGUCAUGACUAUAUGCAACUGUUUUUCUCAUCCUAGCAGAUUAUUGUUUUGCAUUCAGGUCCACAAUGUAAAAGUGAUUUUUUUUUUUUUUUGGUGUGAUGUGAAACAUAUAUUUCAUAUCCAGUUUAUGGAAAAGACCAUCUUUGCCAUUUGUUAAUUGUAAAAUAAAUCAAGUGUGGGUUUGUUUCUGAGCUUUCUCUUCUUUUCCAUUUAUCUGUGUGCCCAAUGACUACAUUAAAAGUUCCUUCUUCUGACUUGGACUACAAAUUCCAUGAAGGCAAGAGCUGUGUGUAUUUCUUAGUAAAUACUAGGUUUCUAUUUCUUAUCAUAUUGUCUGGUAUUUUGGCUGGUGCUCACUACAGAUUUGCCUAAUAAUGAAUGGCCAUCCUUCAUAAACUGUAAAUGAUAGAAUAUAUUCACAAACUCAUAACAAUUUGUGGAAUAAUAUAUAAAUGCUAGUUACUGGAGUUCCCGUCGUGGCUCAGUGAUUAACAGAUCUGACUAGUAUCCAUGAAGAAGUGGGUCGAUCUCUUGUCUUGCUCAUUGGGUGAAGGAUCCAGCAUUGCUGUAGCUAUGAUGUAGGCCAGCAGCUGCAGCUCCAAUUCGACCCCUAGCCUGGGACCCUCCAUAUGCUG
rnacentral:lncRNA from 1 species